AUCUGCGACAAACUGACAUCAUAAAGUAAACAAGAUAAUGGAAUUUUCAGCUGAAAUCCGCGUACAACCGUGGAUACUUUUAAGAAUUCCUCAUUUGGUGUUCCAUGAUGCCCGUGGAUUUCACAUCAGUUGAGACAUUCCAGUUUCAAUAUCGCAAUAUUUAAGGAAGCCUUAGCAGCAAAGGAGCUGCCGUCAACCUAAAGAUCCAUACUUCAUUGAAGAUUACAAAAAGAGAAAGGAAGAAAACCGUGCAAGAAUAGCCAGAUUGGCCAAAAAUGUAAACAGAGUGAUUGAAGGCGCUAGUACCAGUGCAAACCCAUCUUUUCCAACUGAGAGCAGUGAAGAAACGAUCAAUGCGGACCCGCCUCGUGACCUCUGUGUCACACUUGACAUUGAGAAGUUUUUCAGUGGUGAGGAGUGGGCAUCCAAAACUCACCUGGAAAGAAAGGAACUCAGAUCUCAACUGGAAACAUACCGAUAUUCGUUAAAGCAUACUUCAGGUUAGUUAGUAUUUUCGAAACAACUUUUAUGGCCAUUUUAUAUUAUCUUUCUUUCUCUCCUCAUCUUCCUUGUUAUUUUCCUUCUCCAGCUUUUCCUUAUUCAAUUUGAUUGUAUGGUAAGAGAUGUAGUGGUAUUUCUCCAUAAUUGAAAGAAAAUGACGUUGAUGUUGUCAAAAUAAUAUAGUGGUAUGUUAGUUAGUUUAAUUUUCGUCUUAUAACACUACAGCAUCAAGCAAAGCUAGGUAGUAAAUGACAUGUUAAAAGUAUUGAGUACAGUACUCAAAAAAGUAAUUAUAAAAGAGAGAAAAAAAGAAGAAAAUCAGAACAUACAAAGGCGUUAAAAAAAAAGCCUUGCAAAAAAAAUCCUAAACGCGCCAACAGUUGAAGCUUUCCUCUAAACUGUACGGAGAUGCAUCGUUCAAUUUAGCUUUUAUUGCAUUCUUGAACCUUUCUGAGCUCUCAAUACAUUCUAUUUCAAUAGGAAGAGAGUUAUAAGCUCUUAAUCCGCUCAUGUGCAGUACCUUAGGCAGCUGAACUUCGCAUUUAGUCAGCUAGGGUAAGUCCUGGGUGCCGGUCACUGUAGGAACAUCAGUGUGCAGUGGGUAUGGCAUCUUGGCGUGGGGGGGGGUGCCUCAUC